rnacentral:rRNA from 1 species
GUAUAUGUGUGUGAGCACGCCGAGCCCGGUUUAGUGCCAUGGCGGCGCGCGCGUAGAGACCUGAUCCACAAUGACGCGUGAGUGAUGAAGGCCUUCAGGUUGUAAAGCUCUUUCGGUUGGGAAGAAAGGGGUGUGUGUUAAUACAGAAUGCUUUUGAAGGAACCAAAAAAAAAACCCCCGGAUAACUUCGUGCCAACAACAGCGGUAAAACUCUUCCCACCGAAAGGCUUUCACCUAGGCUUCUACUCAGCGGCAUGGCUGGACAGGUUUUCCCCUUGUCAAUAUUCCAUGCUGCUCCUUAGCCCCCUGCCCCACCCACCUCCCUGUGGGGAGAAAA